UGCAGUCGUACGAUGAACCCGGAGCUUGCUCUGGGGGAUUAGUGGCGAACGGGUGAGUAACACGUGAGUAACCUGCCCUUGACUCUGGGAUAACCUCCGGAAACGGAAGCUAAUACCGGAUAUGACGCACGGAGGCAUCUCCUGUGCGUGGAAAGAACUUCGGUCAAGGAUGGACUCGCGGCCUAUCAGGUAGUUGGUGAGGUAACGGCUCACCAAGCCUACGACGGGUAGCCGGCCUGAGAGGGUGACCGGCCACACUGGGACUGAGACACGGCCCAGACUCCUACGGGAGGCAGCAGUGGGGAAUAUUGCACAAUGGGCGCAAGCCUGAUGCAGCAACGCCGCGUGAGGGAUGACGGCCUUCGGGUUGUAAACCUCUUUUAGUAGGGAAGAAGCGAAAGUGACGGUACCUGCAGAAAAAGCACCGGCUAACUACGUGCCAGCAGCCGCGGUAAUACGUAGGGUGCGAGCGUUGUCCGGAAUUAUUGGGCGUAAAGAGCUCGUAGGCGGUCUGUCGCGUCUGCUGUGAAAACCCGAGGCUCAACCUCGGGCCUGCAGUGGGUACGGGCAGACUAGAGUGCGGUAGGGGAGAAUGGAAUUCCUGGUGUAGCGGUGGAAUGCGCAGAUAUCAGGAGGAACACCGAUGGCGA
rnacentral:rRNA from 1 species